rnacentral:rRNA from 1 species
AACGCGAAGAACCUUACCUGGGUUUGACAUGUACUUGACAGUUGUAGAAAUACAAUCUUUUAGGCUUCGGUCUAAACGGGUACACAGGUGCUGCAUGGCUGUCGUCAGCUCGUGUCGUGAGAUGUUGGGUUAAGUCCUAUAACGAGCGCAACUCCUGCUGUCAGUUGCUACCAUUAAGUUGGGCACUCUGACGGGACUGCCCGGGAAACCGGGAGGAAGGUGGGAAUGACGUCAAGUCCUCAUGGCCCUUAUAUCCAGGGCGACACACGUGUUACAAUGGCCGAUACAAAGGGCUGCUAACUCGUAAGAGUAAGCUAAUCCUCAAAGUCGGUCUAAGUUCGGAUUGAGGUCUGAAAUUCGACCUCAUGAAGUUGAAAUCGCUAGUAAUUGCGCAUCAGAACGGCGCAGUGAAUACGUUCUCGGGCCUUGUACACACCGCUGUA